GACAUCAACCGAGAUUCCGUUAGUAGUGGCGAGCGAACGCGGACCAGGCCAGUGCCUGGUGUUUAAUUAGCAAAAGCUUCUGGAAAGUAGCGCCAUAGUGGGUGACAGCCCCGUAUGCGAAAAUGAAACAUCAGGACUUGAGUAGGGCGGGACACGUGUAAUCCUGUCUGAAUAUAGGGGGACCACCCUCUAAGCCUAAAUACUCGUAUAUGACCGAUAGCGAACUAGUACCGUGAGGGAAAGGUGAAAAGCACCCCGAUGAGGGGAGUGAAACAGUACCUGAAACCGAAUGCUUACAAUCAGUAGGAGCCUCCUUGAGGGGUGACUGCGUACCUCUUGCAUAAUGGGUCUGUGACUUAAUGUAUCAAGCAAGCUUAAGCCGUUAGGUGUAGGCGCAGCGAAAGCGAGUCUGAAUAGGGCGACUGAGUAUGAUGCAUUAGACCCGAAACCCGGCGAUCUAGGCAUGACCAGGUUGAAGGUGCGGUAACACGCACUGGAGGACCGAACCGUUUAAUGUUGAAAAAUUAUCGGAUGAGUUGUGUUUAGGGGUGAAAGGCCAAUCAAGCCGGGAAAUAGCUGGUUCUCCGCGAAAACUAUUGAGGUAGUGCCUCGGAUGUUUUCCGAUGGGGGUAGAGCACUGGAUGGAUGCGGGGGUCGCGAGAUCUACCAAUUCUAACCAAACUCCGAAUACCAUCGAGUUAGUCCGGGAGACAGACGGCGGGUGCUAAGGUCCGUCGUCAAAAGGGAAACAGCCCUAACCUACAGCUAAGGUCCCCAAGUCAUCACUAAGUGGGAAAGCAUGUGGGAUUUCCAAAACAACCAGGAGGUUGGCUUAGAAGCAGCCAUCCUUUAAAGAAAGCGUAACAGCUCACUGGUCUAAAUAAGAGAUCCUGCGGCGAAAAUGUAACGGGGCUAAAGAUAUGUACCGAAGCUUAGGGUGUGCAAUUUAUUGCACGCGGUAGCGGAGCGUUCCGUAGGCCGAUGAAGCGAUCUGGUAAUGGGUCGUGGAGGUAUCGGAAGUGCGAAUGCAGACAUGAGUAGCGAUAGGAGGGUGAGACACCCUCCCGCCGAAAGACCAAGGGUUCCUGCUUAAAGCUAAUCUGAGCAGGGUAAGCCGGCCCCUAAGACGAGCCCGAAGGGGGUAGUCGAUGGGAACCACGUUAAUAUUCGUGGGCCUGGUGGUGUGUGACGGAUCUCGUGAGUUGUCAGUCCUUAUUGGAUUGGACUGGCUUCGAAGAGGUUCCAGGAAAUAGCCCCACCGUAUAGACCGUACCCGAAACCGACACAGGUGGUCAGGUAGAGUAUACCAAGGCGUUUGAGAGAAGUAUCCUGAAGGAACUCGGCAAAUUGCCUCCGUACCUUCGGAAGAAGGAGGCCCUCACAUUGCGCAAGCAGUAUGAGGGGGCACAGGCCAGGGGGUAGCGACUGUUUAGCAAAAACACAGGACUCUGCUAAGUCGGCUUCAAGACGACGUAUAGGGUCUGACGCCUGCCCGGUGCUGGAAGGUUAAGAGGAGGAGUGCAAGCUCCGAAUUGAAGCCCCAGUAAACGGCGGCCGUAACUAUAACGGUCCUAAGGUAGCGAAAUUCCUUGUCGGGUAAGUUCCGACCUGCACGAAUGGCGUAACGACUUCCCCACUGUCUCCAGGAUAUGCUCAGCGAAAUUGAAUUCUCCGUGAAGAUGCGGAGUACCCGCGGUUAGACGGAAAGACCCCGUGCACCUUUACUGCAGCUUCAGAGUGGCAUUAGGAAAGAACUGUGUAGAAUAGGUGGGAGGCUUUGAAACUUGGGCGCCAGUCCGAGUGGAGCCGAAAUGUGAAAUACCACCCUGUUGUUUUCUGAUGUCUAACCUCGCACCGUUAUCCGGUGCAGGGACCCUCUGUGGCGGGUAGUUUGACUGGGGCGGUCGCCUCCUAAAGAGUAACGGAGGCGCGCGAUGGUAGGCUCAAGCCGGUCGGACAUCGGCUGUUGAGUGCAAUGGCAUAAGCCUGCCUGACUGCGAGACUGACAAGUCGAGCAGAGACGAAAGUCGGUCAUAGUGAUCCGGUGGUUCU
rnacentral:rRNA from 1 species